rnacentral:snoRNA from 1 species
UUGCAGCCACUUAAGCUGCAAAGAUUCCCCGUGGGGAAUCGGUGUACAAAGGCUGCAAACAGCAGCCUCCUCGGUAGCGCAUGCAGCCUGUUGCCUGUACAGGUUGCCCUAAGGGACCUUGCACAUAGCC